rnacentral:lncRNA from 1 species
GCCUUUACUCUACGCCCCCGGCUCCCCCGAACUUCUGUCCUCAUUUCAGGGCGACUUUGGGAACACAAUAGUCGACUCGCCGACGUUCCCUUAGACGCGUUGCCAUACGUCGUCACCCAUAGAAACGGCUUUCCGCGGGGCAGACUCCAAGUCUCGCCUGUGUGAGCGGGCAGGGGUAGCAGGAAAGGCUGUUUUUCAUUUCCAAGAGAAAACCGUCACCCCGCCCACCUCGAACCUCCUCCCAACAUCUCAGGAUAGAAACGCCGCGCUCAGGUGAAUGAGAAAUGUUCUGAUACAGGAAAGAGGAGUUCGUGUUUCUUUCAGAAGGUGACCGUUUUCCUCCUUCUGAGGUCACGAGCUGUCCGUCCGAUGCCCAGAAUUCCGAGGCCUGAUGUGGCGUGUUUCCGGUAGCUGGGCUCCUCGGAGAGCUGUGGGAAGAGGCGCGGGCGACCGGGGGCGUCAGCGAGCCCUGUCUUCGCCUGCCUUCGCCGGCGUGGACUCUUCCCAGUGCCCGUCUUCCCCCGCGAAGUAAUAGUGUCCUGUAUUUCCUGACUGUAAGAAGAAUAGUGCUUUUAAAAAAUGCCUGCUCCCUGUAAUAGCAGCAGUAGUUCGAGAGUACAUACAUGUUUAUAAAAGAAACUUAAACUCUCAUUCUUGCCACAGUGGAUAAUACUAUUAACAUAUUGCUACAUAAAUUUAGAAUUUUCAUACAUACACGUAAAGGUGUUUGGUUUUUUAAAACAGAAAAACGUAAGCGCGUUAUCUCCCAGUAAUGUCUUUGCAGGUAAAUUAAAAUAAUUACAUAUAUAUUUAUAUUUAUAUAUAUAUAUUUUUUCUAAGAGAUGGGGUUGUUGCCCAGGCUGGUCUUGACCUCCCGGGCUCAAGUGAUACUCCCACCUCAGGCUCCCAAAGUGCUGGGACUGUGGGCAUGAACCACCGGGUCCAGCCUACAGAAUCAUUUUUAAUGGCUGUAUGGAUAUCAUAAUUUGUUCAACCAGUCCCUAAGUUGUUGGACUUUUCAGGUAUUGACAGCUUUUCAGGUCUACAAUCCUAGAUGAAUAUUCUUAUAUGUAAAUCUGUACAUGUCCCUGAUUAUUUUUUUACAAUAAAGUCAUAGAAAUAAAAUUACUGGAUCAAGGAAAAUG